CCCAAGCCUUGGCUAGGCGCGCGCGCGCACGGGGUCGGGCGCUCCCGGGCGGCGGUGGCACCACGUAGCCGCCUCCUUCCACCGCUCGCUUUAUCCCCGCCCCUUCUCGGGCCAACCCCAAGCGCCGCUGACCCCGAACGUCGCUGCGGGCCUAUGAUAAGAGGAGAUGAAUGCCUGCUAAAGCGACCAGAAGGCUCUCAGUAAAAAGUAUUCACUAGGUAUCAAUAGAAUCUGCAAAACGAAGAGGUGCUUGAAAGAUGUGAAAGAGGAAACUUAAAGAGAAACCCAGAUGGUACAUCUCUCUUCCUGGCUAGAUAGAUGGAAUGUACAGCCAGAGGAUUGGAUGAGGUCAUCGACGGAGAGAAUGCAGAGAGAAUCCUGGGGCUCACCAACAUGAAGAAUUUGGGACAAGAAAGAAGAUCCAGCAGAGAAGACUGAAAGAAGGCAACUAAUGAAAUAGGAGAGAACCUGGAGAGCACAGAGUCUUAGAGGCCAAGAAAGUGGUUUAAUAUAAUCCGUAUCAAAGCAUUUGUGGUUUAUUUUUGUUAACUGACAAAAGGAUUCUAAAACAUACCUGAAAAGUAUAAUUCACACCUAGGAUAAUGGAUCAUUCUGUCACAUUGUUCCUUUUUCACAGCUGAUAUGAACAUGAUAUUUUCAUGACUUUGUAAAAUAAAAAUGGAAUCUUUCUAAUUUUUUUAAAAAAACUGCUUACUUAUGCAAGCCUUCUGUCUCUCACUGUAUAACCCCUCCACUUUUAUACGGGUCACACAUGUUUCUGUCACUUUCCUGGAGCCCUUGUAGCAAAUUAAUAACAUGUAGCACAUGCUUGAAGAAAAAUUUGUCUAGGACAUUUUGUUUUUGAGAUUCAUAAAUUGACUCUAUUUUACAUAAGAAUCUAUUAUGCCAUAGGAAGCUUAUUAAACCCUUGAGCAGGAACAAAUUAUUCAAUAAAUGGUGAUGAGAUGAAUGCCUAGAAAUACAAAAA